UUGAGCUUGUUUUUGAUUGCCGAGUCCAAAUGUUGGAGUGUCUGGUUGGGUCUGUUGAGUCGAGGAGGAUGAGCGUUGUGUUUGUGUGAACUGAGUCGAGAGGUCGAGGGAGGCAGGGCACGGCGGCUGUGCCGCUGCUGCCCGGCCACGGCUGGAAAAAGAGAAAGGUCGGAGAUCUGUGGGAGAGACGGCGGUGGCUGUCGUUUCAGUCGCCGAAAAAGAGAGAGGGGAGCUGGAGCCUGUCGCCGCUUGCUCCGGCGAGCUCCGACGGCGAUGGGUUUCCGAUCUACUGAGAGAGAGGGAGCUAGGGCUCGGGCGCCGCUCAUUGCUGUGGGAUGACGGGUCCGUUUCAGCGCGAGAGAAGUGGAGGCGGCCGAUUUGGGUUCUCGGUCAGUCGAGGGAGAUGGUGAGGGUGACCGGAGACGGUGCUCUUCGCCGGAGAUGGCCGCGACGGCCGGAAGAGAGAAAAGGGAGAGAGGGCUUAGCGGGGCUGCUGGCGACCGCUCGGUGCGUGCGUCUGUGGGUGAGAGACGAGAGACGGGGGAGAGGGGAGUCAGGGGACGGUGGCGUGGCCGGCGGCGGCCACCGCCGCCGGAGACGAAGGGGGGGGGAGAGGGUGCCUGCUGCGGAGAUGAAGGAGGGGGGAGAGUGGUGCGUGUGUUUGUAUAUGUGUGUGUUUAAUGAGAUGAAGAAUAGGGCUUGGUUUAAGUUUUGGGCCAUUUUUAUUUCAGUGGGCUCAUUUAUUUAAAAGAGCAUUUGGGCCUCUUAUUUAAUCAAGAAAGCUGGGCCGAUUAUUGGGCUUGAGCAUAUGGGUCGAAAAUAUUAAAGGUUGGGCUUUGCUUUUCUUUGGGUUGGGCCGAUUUUUUGCAUUUUUUUUUAAUUUCAGUUGGGCUCUUUAAUUGGGCCGAGUUUUGUUUAUAUUUCAGUUGGGCCAAUGUUUUUAUUUAAUGCCUUGGGCCUUAAUUUAUUCAUUGGGCUGUGCAGCUUCUCCAUUUAAUUGGACUGCACUAUUUUAAUUAAUUCGACUUAUUAAGUUUGAUUAAUUAUUUUAAUUUGCAUAAUAAUAUCAUAUUAUUAUUAUUAUAUGCAUAUUUUAAGUUAUUACUUACUAUAUGCUAAGCAUGACAUGAAAUUGCAUUAUUUUUUUUUUGCAAUAAAAGUAUUUAUGAU
rnacentral:lncRNA from 1 species